rnacentral:rRNA from 1 species
AUUGAACGCUGGCGGCAGGCCUAACACAUGCAAGUCGAGCGAGCGGCGGACGGGUGAGUAAUGUCUGGGGAUCUGCCCGAUAGAGGGGGAUCACUACUGGGACCGGUGGCUAAUACCGAAUACUAUCGACUGAACCCAUCUGGGAUUAGCUAGUAGGUGGGGUAGAGGCUCACCUAGGCGGCGAUCUCUAGCUGGUCUGAGAGGAUGAUCAGCCACAUGUGGACGUAGACACGGCCCAGACUCCUACGGGAGGCCGCAGUGGAGAAUAUUGCACAGAGGGAGCAAGCCGGAUGCAGCCAGGCCGCGUGGAUUAAGAAGACCUUGGGGUUGGAAAGUACUUUCAGCGGUGAGGCGUUACCCGCAGAAGAAGCACCGGCUAACUCCGUGCCAGCAGCCGCGGUAAUAC